ACGAACGCUGGCGGCGUGCUUAACACAUGCAAGUCGAACGGAAAGGCCCUGCUUUUGUGGGGUGCUCGAGUGGCGAACGGGUGAGUAACACGUGAGUAACCUGCCCUUGACUUUGGGAUAACUUCAGGAAACUGGGGCUAAUACCGGAUAGGAGCUCCUGCUGCAUGGUGGGGGUUGGAAAGUUUCGGCGGUUGGGGAUGGACUCGCGGCUUAUCAGCUUGUUGGUGGGGUAGUGGCUUACCAAGGCUUUGACGGGUAGCCGGCCUGAGAGGGUGACCGGCCACAUUGGGACUGAGAUACGGCCCAGACUCCUACGGGAGGCAGCAGUGGGGAAUAUUGCACAAUGGGCGGAAGCCUGAUGCAGCAACGCCGCGUGCGGGAUGACGGCCUUCGGGUUGCAAACCGCUUUCGCCUGUGACGAAGCGUGAGUGACGGUAAUGGGUAAAGAAGCACCGGCUAACUACGU
rnacentral:rRNA from 1 species